rnacentral:rRNA from 1 species
CCUGGUGACCACAGCGGAGGGGAAACACCCGUUCCCAUUCCGACCACGGAAGUUAAGCCCUCCCGCGCCGAUGGUACUGCCCCCCAAGGGGUGGGAGAGUAGGUCGUCGCCAGGC